UUUAAAUGAAGACUAGAACAAAAGAUUUAACUCUUAUAUUUCCUUAUUUUUUAUAAUUAUUUAAUUUUUCUUAAAUGUAAAAAGACAUUUAUUCUAAAGAAAGACGACAAGACCCUUUUGAACUUAACUUUAGUUUAACUGGGGCAGUUAAUUAAUUAAUAUUUUAAUAUUAUUAUUUUAUAAUAUAUCCUAUAAAUUAGAAUAAUUCAGUUACCAUAGGGAUAACAGCGCAAUUAUAUUUUUAAGCUCUUAUAUAAAAUAUAGUUUACGACCUCGAUGUUGAAUUAAUAACCUUCAUUUAAAGCAAAUUUUAAGUAAGGAAGUCUGUUCGACUUUUAAAUAAUUACAUGAUUUGAGUUCAGACCGGUGUAAGCCAGGUCGGUUUCUAUCUUCUUAAAUUUAUUUUACAGUACGAAAGGACCUAAAAUAUAAUAUAAUAAUAUAUUGGCAGAACAAUGCAUUAGAAUUAGAAUCUAAUUAAACU
rnacentral:rRNA from 1 species